GGGGAAUAUCCAGAAGCAAGGGAAAGCCCGAUAUAAUCUUCCAACAUUAAAUUUGUAAUUUCCUACUUGCAGUAAUUUAAGUAAGCUCUGCAAGUUUCAGGUUACAAGACAAGAGA